rnacentral:tRNA from 1 species
UAUAGAGUAGUAUAAUAUGGUGUACAUAGGAUUUUGAGGCCUGAGGUGGAAGCGUAAGUCUUUCUUUUAUAG